UACGAAGGGUGCAAACGUUGCUCGGAAUCAUUGGGCGUAAAGCGCACGUAGGCGGCUUCGCAAGUCGGAUGUGAAAUCCCCAGGCUCAACCUGGGAACUGCGUCUGAUACUGGAUGGCUUGAAUCCGGGAGAGGGAUGCAGAAUUCCAGGUGUAGCGGUGAAAUGCGUAGAUAUCUGGAGGAAUACCGGUGGCGAAGGCGGCAUCCUGGACCGGCAUUGACGCUGAGGAGCGAAAGCGUGGGGAGCGAACAGG
rnacentral:rRNA from 1 species